UACGUAGGGCGCAAGCGUUAAUCGGAAUUAUUGGGCGUAAAGCGUGCGCAGGCGGCUUUGCAAGACAGAUGUGAAAUCCCCGGGCUUAACCUGGGAACUGCAUUUGUGACUGCAUGGCUAGAGUGCGGCAGAGGGGGAUGGAAUUCCACGUGUAGCAGUGAAAUGCGUAGAUAUGUGGAGGAACACCGAUGGCGAAGGCAGCCCCCUGGGUUAACACUGACGCUCAUGCACGAAAGCGUGGGGAGCAAACAGG
rnacentral:rRNA from 1 species